AUGUCAUCUUCGGGCUAUGUCGCUGUUCCUCGAUGCUCAGUGAUCUUUGAUGGCACCAACUACGCUGAGUUUGCGGGCUUCAUGCGUAUCCAUAUGCGCGGUCUUCUUCUAUGGGGUGUUCUCUCUGGCGAGGUCCCCUGUCCGCCAUGCCCCGUUGCUCCCGUGGCUCCUAUCCCGCCGGUGCCGCCAGUCCUUGCUGCUGAUGCUUCUCAGGCUGAUCGUGAUGAAGCCAAAGCUCUUGAUGAUGUUGCAGUUGAUGCUUAUGAUCAACAGAUAUCUGCUUAUUCAGAUGCUCUUUCUGUGUACCGCGAUGAUCUGUCUGCUUACACUCAGUGGUGCAAUGAUGAUGCUCGUGCUGCUGUUGUUCUCACCGCGAGUGUUCUCCCUCAGUUUGCUUCAGAGUUCAUGGGACUUGGCACAGUUGCAGCGAUGUGGUCUUAUCUCUAUCAGCGCUACCAGCCCUCUGGUGAUGCUCUCUACCUAUCUGUGGUGCGUCAGGAGCACGCACUCCAGCAAGGUGAUUCCUCUGUUGAUGAGUUCUAUUCACAGUGCUCUGCCAUCUGGCGUCAGCUUGACUCUCUUCGGACAGUCGUUUGUGGAACUUGCCGUUGCUGUCAGACUACUCGGUCCGAUUUGGAUUUUCAGCGGGUUCAUGAGUUCCUAUCUCGUCUUCGCUCUGAGUUCGAGCCUCGACGUGCUCACCUGCUUGCUCGUGGUCGGGUUCCUAUCUCGGAGGUGCUUGUUGAGCUUCGUGCUGAGGAGACCCGCCUUCGCUCUGCUGGGUUACUUGUGGUUCCAUCAGUUUUGGCCGCCUGA
rnacentral:rRNA from 1 species